rnacentral:precursor_RNA from 1 species
GGGGGGCCGGCGGCGGCGGCGGCGGCGGCGGCGGCGGCUUCCUCCGGCUACUGCUGCCCCCCCU